rnacentral:rRNA from 1 species
UAGGGAAUCUUCCACAAUGGACGCAAGUCUGAUGGAGCAACGCCGCGUGAGUGAAGAAGGCUUUCGGGUCGUAAAACUCUGUUAUUGAAGAAGAACGUGUGUGACAGUAACUGGUCAUGCAGUGACGGUAUUCAAUCAGAAAAGUCACGGCUAACUACGUGCCAGCAGCCGCGGUAAUACGUAGGUGGCAAGCGUUGUCCGGAUUUAUUGGGCGUAAAGCGAGUGCAGGCGGUCUUUUAAGUCUGAUGUGAAAGCCUUCGGCUUAACCGAAGAAGGGCAUCGGAAACUGGGAGACUUGAGUGCAGAAGAGGAGAGUGGAACUCCAUGUGUAGCGGUGAAAUGCGUAGAUAUAUGGAAGAACACCAGUGGCGAAGGCGGCUCUCUGGUCUGUAACUGACGCUGAGGCUCGAAAGCGUGGGUAGCAAACAGGAUU